UACGGAGGGAGCUAGCGUUAUUCGGAAUUACUGGGCGUAAAGCGCACGUAGGCGGCUUUGUAAGUUAGAGGUGAAAGCCUGGAGCUCAACUCCAGAACUGCCUUUAAGACUGCAUCGCUUGAAUCCAGGAGAGGUGAGUGGAAUUCCGAGUGUAGAGGUGAAAUUCGUAGAUAUUAGGAAGAACACCAGUGGCGAAGGCGGCUCACUGGUCCGGUACUGACGCUGAGGUGCGAAAGCGUGGGGAGCAAACAGG
rnacentral:rRNA from 1 species